rnacentral:rRNA from 1 species
GACGAACGCUGGCGGCGUGCCUAAUACAUGCAAGUAGAACGCUGAAGCGAGGAGCUUGCUCUUCUUGGAUGAGUUGCGAACGGGUGAGUAACGCGUAGGUAACCUGCCUUGUAGCGGGGGAUAACUAUUGGAAACGAUAGCUAAUACCGCAUAACAAUGGAUGACCCAUGUCAUUUAUUUGAAAGGGGCAAAUGCUCCACUACAAGAUGGACCUGCGUUGUAUUAGCUAGUAGGUGAGGUAACGGCUCACCUAGGCGACGAUACAUAGCCGACCUGAGAGGGUGAUCGGCCACACUGGGACUGAGACACGGCCCAGACUCCUACGGGAGGCAGCAGUAGGGAAUCUUCGGCAAUGGGGGCAACCCUGACCGAGCAACGCCGCGUGAGUGAAGAAGGUUUUCGGAUCGUAAAGCUCUGUUGUAAGUCAAGAACGAGUGUGAGAGUGGAAAGUUCACACUGUGACGGUAGCUUACCAGAAAGGGACGGCUAACUACG